GGUCCGUCCCCUCGUCGUCACGACGUGCUGGCACGGGCUCUACGGCGCGUUGGGAGCGCUUGCGUCACCCAGCGCUUAUAAGAGCCUGCGGUGUGCGGUCUGCAGAGCACUGCCGCGCUGUCCCGCACCUGCAGCAACCUCCAGCAAAACACGCGUCACUCAGAGCUCCUCGAGACUUCAGCACCGACGCACGCCACUGAAACAGCAGCAUGGUCCGGGCUUUUCUGCUAUAUAGGGGGAAAUAUUUGACGGUCCGGAGGUUCAGUGGAGUACCGGAAAUGUGUGCUGUCGAGACCCAACAGAGCUCUAAUGAGUUUACUGUGGAUAUAUGCGAACAAGAAAACAAGAUGGCUUUGUAUUUCUGGUAUGAAAACCAAAAAUACCUCCCAAAGGUGGACGGUGGCACACUGAGGGUGGAGAAGGUUGUUGAUGAUGCUGUCGAAGGCAGCCCAGCUAAUGCACAUAAUAUACCUGAAUGCUCCUGGUUCGUGAAGGAAUAUUGUGGACUCUCCGGAUAUUACAUCCUGCGAACUGUGGCUGAACCCCCACAAUACAUCGCACCAUGGAACAAUUCAAACAGACAAAGUAAAUUCAAGCUGUCUGAACACCGUAAGGACUGCAUCGUGGUCAAACAACAAAGACCUUAAGUGCAUCCACCACCACCACCAAGUUAGCUUAAUCUUUGACCGCAGGACUCAUGAUUUCCAUGCUUCCUCUGCACACUCACAGUUCGCUCCAGCUCUGGGCCGAGCAAGAAGUCAAUUUAUUUAGAUCAUUUUUCCUACUUGGGUGGCUAAGUGUCUUCUUGCUAAACUUCAUCAAGUAGGUACUCUUGCAGUUACAUUUGGGGGACUUGGAAAAGACAGAUGAAAAGGGAAUGAGAAGAAAGGAGAAAAAAUACCAACACUCCCCCCUGGUCCUCUGAAGUCAUAGUCUGGCCUGCUAGUUGCAUGGCUAACUGAGCUAAGUAGCCUGAGAUUCAGAGUCCCACCUUUUUUUCUUCCAGGACACAUGCACAGUUCUCUUCAAAAACACACCUUUGGAAGGUCAUGGCGCAAUGGCAUAGUGAUUCACUACAGUUUUAUGUCACAGACAUGAGAAGAGUAUACACAUCAGGUGAAGGGCAUUAUUACUCCAGUGUACUCUCCCUCUCUAUUUUAACUUGUACAUAAAUUAAAGAAGUACUUAAGUCAUGUACCACGACUUUUCAUAAACCUUUUUUACCUCAACAUAACCAAACUACUGUCUACUCUAAUGUCCCUCAGUAAGCUAGAAUAUGAACGUCUAAGCGGACAUUGUAUAUUUCUAAUUGUUAACUUGACCACAGAUUGAGAACAUGUACUUUUUAGACAUUAGCGAUGGCGGCUUUAUUCAACUGCUUUGCCGCUCGACGAGUAGACUGAUCCUCAUGAAGGUAGAGUUUCCCUCUUGAUGUGAAAAUGUUCCUCAAAUGCUUUUCGUGUGUUGGUAUUAACUGGGGGAAGGGUUUUAUCAUAUUGUUGUAACAGAUUUGUAUAACUAUUGUAUGCAUCUGAGCUAGCUUGACCUAAAGAUGUUGGUGAAGUAGAGCUCCACAUCAGUCUCUACCGUAACGGUCUUAUAUUCAUGAUUUGCUACAUUGACUGGCUGCCAAUAAUGCUGACCUAGCUUGAUCAAGACUAACUAUACAAGCCUGAUGCAGACCUUGACUAUCAUUCAUGUAUUUGGUUACACAGCUGUGUUUUGUUUUUAUCACUGUUGUGUGCCAUUUUCUUACUGUAAAUACAAGCACAUUUUGUAAUAAACCGCUGUACAUCUUGAA